GUGCCAGCAGCCGCGGUAAUACGGGGGGGGCAAGCGUUGUUCGGAAUUACUGGGCGUAAAGGGCUCGUAGGCGGCCAACUAAGUCCGACGUGAAAUCCCCAGGCUUAACCUGGGAACUGCGUCGGAUACUGGAUGGCUUGAAUUCGGGAGAGGGAUGCAGAAUUCCAGGUGUAGCGGUGAAAUGCGUAGAUAUCUGGAGGAAUACCGGUGGCGAAGGCGGCAUCCUGGACCGACAUUGACGCUGAGGAGCGAAAGCUAGGGGAGCAAACGGGAUUAGAAACCCUAGUAGUCC
rnacentral:rRNA from 1 species